GCAACUACCUAGCCCAACAAACAAAUAUAAAACCCAACAAACAAAUUAUCCUACCAAUAUAUCAACUAAAACAUUUUACCAUCAUAGUAUAGGCGAUAGAAAAGAU
rnacentral:rRNA from 1 species